AGAAUCAACGCUGGCGGCGUGCCUAACACAUGCAAGUCGAACGAGAAAGUGGUAGCAAUACCAUGAGUAAAGUGGCGCACGGGUGAGUAACACGUGACUAACCUACCCUGGAGUGGGGGAUAACUGAGGGAAACCUUAGCUAAUACCGCAUAAUACCUACGGGUCAAAGGAGCAAUUCGCUUUGGGAGGGGGUCGCGGCCGAUUAGCUAGUUGGCGGGGUAAUGGCCCACCAAGGCGAUGAUCGGUA
rnacentral:rRNA from 1 species